rnacentral:rRNA from 1 species
GACGAACGCUGGCGGUGUGCUUAACACAUGCAAGUCGAACGGAAAGGCCCUGCUUUUGGGGGGUGCUCGAGUGGCGAACGGGGGAGUAACACGUGAGUAACCUGUCCUUGACUUUGGGAUAACUUCAGGAAACUUGGGCUAAUACCGGAUAGGAUCUCCUGCUGCAUGGUGGGGGUUGGAAAGUUUCGGCGGUUGGGGAUGUACUCGCGUCUUAUCAGCUUGUUGGUGGGGUAGUGGCUGACCAAGGCUUUGACGGGUAGCCGGCCUGCGCGGGUGACCGGAGCCAUCGGGCCUGAGAUACGGCGCAGCCCAGUAUGGGAGGCAGCAGAGGAGAAUAUUGCACAAUGGGAGGGAGGCAGAUGUGGUAAAGCAGCGCCCGGGAUGACGGGAUGCGGGUUGUAAACCGAUGUUGCUUGAGCCGAGGCGUGAGUGACGGUACCGGGUAAAGAAGCACCGGCUAACUACGUG